rnacentral:lncRNA from 1 species
UCACAACCCUCCCUGCUCACAACCUUCCCAACACAGCCCUCCCUGCUCACAGCCCUCCCUGCUCACAGCCUUCCCAGCUCACAGCCCUCCCAACUCACAACCCUCCCAAUGCAGCCCUCCCAGCUUACAGUCCUCCCAGUUCACAACCCUCCCUGCUCACAACUCUCCCAGCUCACCCUCCUGAGAAGCUGGUGCUACACAAUCUGCAUCACCACACCAGCUCCUUCACCAUUCUCACACCACAGUCCUAGCUCCUGUCUUGUGAAUCUCUUGUUGAGCUCUGGCUGACAUGUGCCUUGUCACAUUUUAAAGUAGGUACUGAACAUCUCGCCCAAAGUAAUAUGCUCAUCAGCAGAGCUUGACAGAGUACAGAGGUGGAGACUCUCACAUAUCAUCAGAACCUUUUCCUUAGGGUUAGUCAGUUUUCUUCUGGAGAGUGAGUGUUUUAUUACCAGUGCUAAGGAAGGUGAGUGGGUUAUGAAAUGACCACAUGUGCUCUGGUUACCUUGGGUUCAUCCCUUUUUUCUAAUUAGUGCUUUUGGAACCAUUCUCAGCUUUACCUGUUAUCCCCAAGCCCUUCUUCCUCAGAGCUUCUAAUCAGAUUACUCCCUCUGGACAGGUGCAGGAAGCCAGCUGAGGAACUGGGGGCUGGAGAGAAAAAAUUUGGGAAUGAAUCACUUGUGCCUGUUUCUAACCUUUGGAGGCUGAGCAGCUUCACUUCCUGUGCUUCCCUGCACUCUGUGUGUGAGCUGGGCUUGGUGCUUUUUGUCAUGUCCACCCACCCACCUCACCCUUAGUCUCCAGCUUUUCCUUUAUCCUCCAUCAACUUUUAUGCCACCUUGGCCCAGGUAAUCUUUUGUUGUCUGUGUCUGUCUCUGGAUUGGUUUUUUUGUUUGUUCGUUUGGUUGGUUGGUUGGGUUUCUUGUUUGUUUGUUUGUUUUGUUUUGUUUUAACAUCCUUGGGUGUCACUUACUAUAUGGUGGUAUCAGUCUCCUCCUUGGACUAUCCUCUAAGCUUUGACAGCCUGCCCAGUGUGCCCUCAGACAAACCAGUUUAUUAGUAACAUCAUUUUACCAUUUUAGAAGACAGACGUAUCUCUCCUAUUCUUCAGGAUUCCUAACUUUAAAAAUGCGUUUACUUGACUUUUCCGGGAGGGUGGUGUCAGAGGAGAAGAGAGAAACUUGGAGUUUCUUAUUGAGGAAACGCCUAGAUGGAUUGUCAUGUUUCUUCUGUGCUAAAUACUAACAUGAUCAGGUACUUAGAUAUAACUCAUCUUUUUAUUUUAAGGACCAAGACUUCCUUAAGAACUUGGUUUUUAAAGUAGCUGGAAGUUUGUAUAAUUUCUCAAUUCUCAGCACCUUACCUGCUAAGGUUAGAGAUAUUUGUUUGAAUGGUCUUCAGCUUUUUCAGAUAUUUGUUUGUAGGUCUUCAAAUUUUCAAAUAUCUUUUUCAGAUAUUUGUUUGUAGGUCUUCAGACACCUACAGCUCCUGGCUGCACUGUGUGUCACCUCCUCUAUCCCCACCAUUUUUGAAAUUUAGAUUUUCUCUUCUGGUUUUUGCCUCUAAUGAACUAAUUCCCUAUAUACGACCCAUUGUCUCCUAAAUCCUCCUUUGCAAACCAGUAAAAGUCUGGUCUUGUUUGUUUCUAAGCAGAAUAGUAGUACCAAUCUGCCAGUCUCCUAACACACACCAUUCCAUUUUAAUCCCUGCCAGCUACUCUGUGAGAGGUAGACAUGAGCUCUAUUUCACAUGCACAGAGCCCAGCGCUCAUAGGCUCUGGUUGCUAGCCUUAGUCUUCAGGUCAGCGGGGUGUAGCAACCCCUGUUCAGAAAGUUUGGCCCCCUAGGGUUGACUUGUGAUAUUCAUGAGG